rnacentral:tRNA from 2 species
CGGGGUGUAGCGCAGCCUGGUAGCGCAUCUGCCUGGGGGGCAGGGGGUCGUGGGUUCGAAUCCCGCCACCCCGACCA